GGCACGCUUAAGCAUGUCACUGGUACAAAACACUAGUGACAGGCUCAUGAAAAAGGCUGUCACUGGUAUUUUUUUUAAAAGGCCGUCCAGAAGAGCAGAUACGGUAGUGACAGGCUUCUAUAUUGCCUGUCAUUGUUCGGCCUUUGUUUUCGCUCGCGCCUUUUUUCCUAGGCCGGCCCACGCACGCGCCUCAUCUCCAGCCGGCUUAUCCGCGCGCCUCCUCAGCUGGCUGGCCGACUAGGACAUAGUCAAAAGAACAACACGGUUCAGAGGAAACAAAAAAUUCACGGAUCGCUAGAUCGAGCCGCCGCCCUGCUCCUCCAAAUCCACAACCGUCGCCGCCCUGCUCGUCCAACGCCGCCGCCCCUCCAACGCGGCGCAGGCCGCCAGCUUCUCUAACGCCGCCGCAAACCCUAGAAAGAUAUCCGAGGUCGCACUACUUCAUCGCCCGGCGCUGCACAAAUUCUAGCGCCACCGCAGCCGGCCGGACGCCGACAGCAGCUCAAUCGUCUGGUGCCGUCAGCUGCGAUUCCAUCACCCGGUGCGCCGGGACUGAAGCAGACAGCAUCUGCAUCCCCCGACGCUGGCCCCAACUCCAUCCUUAAUGCAGGGAUCAGGCACGAACUCCAUCUAGGUUAUCUGAUCUCUGUCUGUGCCUUAGUUUUUGAGUUAAGUGAUUUGAUUGGUGGUUCCAAGAUAGGCACAUGGGAGACCCUUGCAUUUCUUCUACCUGCAGCGAUAGAUCUACUCCACGUUUCCCACUGGCAUUGUGAUGGAGCUGGUAGGAAAAAUUAAAGAAGCUCUUGAUAGUGUAGAUUCGCCUCAGACAAGGAAAGGUUGAGCACCGGCAGCAGCUGCUUCAUAGCAGCAAUUUGCUCUCGCCACUUUUCUAUUUUGCAAGCGCCUCAACACAGAGGUCGCCUUGGAAUCUGGGGUUUUCUAUGGUGAUGAUGACUUGCCGGAGGUUCAUGAUUGAUGCACAAAUGCGGCUGCAACCCAAUUGAUCAAGCAUGCAUGAUCACUGGACGAUGUAUGGGGCAUUAUUAUUUGCAUUGUGCAACAAUUCUAGACACCUGUAGAACACUGCAUUUCAGCAUACUCAAAAUGGAAGUAUUAGCUAUUUCAGCAAUGGGGAACCACUGAAAAGGUUUCUUAGGUAGUGGCGGGGACGGCGGCAGCGCGACACCAGCUGGUAGUCACGGCAGCGGCGACAGCAGGCAGUGGCGUGACAGCAACAGGCGGCUGCAGCGGCGGCCACGGCCAUGACAGCUGGCGGCGGGGUGACAUCAGCAGGUAGCCACGGCGGCGACUACAGCGGAUGACUCGGGAGGGCAAGGAGAGCGGACAGGUUGCAACGGCAAGACUGGACCAAAACUGCCAAGGUGCUUUUCCUGUAUCGUUAUCUGCUUACGCGGGAUCCUCGGCGGAAUCAAAUUUGUGCUAGGCUGGUAACCGAUACAGUGUUAUCGGAUUACUGAGCAACGAAAACAAACACAAUUUAAUGGAACCUGUUAGGACUGCUAUGUAGUUACAUUACAAAACUACAAACUAAACACGUCCCUGAUCUGACAUGCUAGGAGUUGCCGCUCGCACUUAGCAUUGCCACACUUUACAGUUGGCUUGCACAUGUUGUAGAACACACAGUGCUAGAAAGCUUUCAGAAUACUUCUCUGUAUUUGUCACGUCCAUCAAGACAAGGGGAUUUGGAUCCUUGGAGUACUUAAUUACCCUUCUCCAUGUCUCGUGAAGACAAGGUAGGUGGCCAGCCUUGCAGCUAGUAGAGCUUGAUAGUCUGUAAGCAUGCAUGCUCACCGAAAAGGUAUGGGGCAUUACUAUUUGCACUAUAGAAAAAUUCUAGACUAGCAAUUGUAUUAAUGUUCAUUACGACAAUAUGUUCAGUGUAAAUUCCAUAGUCUGACAUAGGAUGCUAGUUCCAUUAUGCUCCGUAUGCCUCCGGUGUAUUUCUUAACUAGGUUAGGCUGGAGUACAUCGUCCAAUGGCUUAAAUUUACUGAACCAUGUCGUCUAUUGUUGGUUCUAGCCUUUGAGAAAUAUCGAUUUCAAAUAUGACCGCUCUCCUUUUUUGUUUUCUAGGAAGGCAAGGCUGGGACCGAUGAUGCUCAAGUUGGAGGUGAUAUAGUCUGUAGAAGAUGUCGAAGAGCUAGGAUGUUGGUGUCUUUUGGUUCGCACAGUAGAAGAUGUGGAAGUGACUGCUGUUUGGUUUCUUUUGGUUCGCCUAUAGUUGGCGUAGAGUUCUUUCCGCCUAGUUUUAAAUUUUGUGUAAAUGAUCUAAUGAUUCCUGUAAUACACUUUUCAAUGUGCUUUUCUUGCAUUUAAUAUGAGAUUACGCCAAUGAAAUGUUGUAUUGUACCUUGUUACUGCAUA